rnacentral:rRNA from 1 species
CAUGCAAGUCGAGCGCGGUUACCCCCUGUUCCGCAAGGAAUAGAGGGUAACUGAGUGGCGAACGGGUGAGUAACACGUGGGUGACCUACCUUCGAGUGGGGGAUAACGUCCCGAAAGGGACGCUAAUACCGCAUAACAUCCUGCCUUUGAACAGGUGGAGAUCAAAGCUGGGGAUCGCAAGACCUGGCGCUUGAUGAGGGGCCCGCGUCCGAUUAGCUAGUUGGUGGGGUAAUGGCUCACCAAGGCGACGAUCGGUAACCGGCCUGAGAGGGCGGACGGUCACACUGGGACUGAGACACGGCCCAGACUCCUACGGGAGGCAGCAGUGGGGAAUUGUUCACAAUGGGCGCAAGCCUGAUGACGCAACGCCGCGUGGAGGAUGAAGGUCUUCGGAUUGUAAACUCCUGUUGCCCGGGACGAAAUGCUCCAACCUAAUACGUUGGAGUUUGACGGUACCGGGUGAGGAAGCCCCGGCUAACUCUGUGCCAGCAGCCGCGGUAAUACAGAGGGGGCAAGCGUUGUUCGGAAUUACUGGGCGUAAAGGGCGCGUAGGCGGCCUGCUAAGUCGAACGUGAAAUCCCUGGGCUCAACCCAGGAACUGCGUCCGAUACUGGUUGGCUUGAAUUCGGGAGAGGGAUGCGGAAUUCCAGGUGUAGCGGUGAAAUGCGUAGAUAUCUGGAGGAACACCGGUGGCGAAGGCGGCAUCCUGNACCGAGAUUGACGCUGA